ACCUACGGGGCGCAGCAGUGAGGAAUAUUGGUCAAUGGGCGAGAGCCUGAACCAGCCAAGUCGCGUGAGGGAAGACGGUCCUAUGGAUUGUAAACCUCUUUUGCCGGGGAGCAAAAAGCGGUACGUGUACCGCAUCGAGAGUACCCGGAGAAAAAGCAUCGGCUAACUCCGUGCCAGCAGCCGCGGUAAUACGGAGGAUGCGAGCGUUAUUCGGAUUUAUUGGGUUUAAAGGGUGCGCAGGCGGCGAGUUAAGUCAGCGGUAAAAUUUCGGGGGUCAACCGCGACGAGCCGGUGAAACU
rnacentral:rRNA from 1 species